CAGCUCUGUACCCCGCCCCCCCACCUCUCCCCACACUACUUUAUUCGUUUUAAAAAUUUUUUGAAUAUUUUAUUUUUAAGUAACCUCUCUACCCAAUGUGGGACUCGAACCUACAACCCCGAGUUCAAGAGACGCACGAGCCACUGACUGAGCCAGCCAGGCACCACCACUGCUUUAUUUUUGCCUCAAGACCAAGUAUUCUGAUGAAUCGCAGCAGCCUCUGGAUCCAUUUCCUGCCAAAUGGUGACAGACCAACAAGAAAAUCAUGAUUAACAGCCCACAAGCCCUUCAUUGCAAAUAAACAGGACUGCCUCAGGCAAUCAGAUGUCCCACGUUCACCUCCAGAAUUUGAUAUGGACAAAAACGAUGUCCUUGAAGCAUAUGGACUGUGUCUUCUCAAACUUGUAUGAGCACAGUGUCUGGGUUAGAUACCGUCGCCGACAAUGAGAGCACAGCACGCAGGGCCUCCGUCUGCGGCGGGGUUUGAAGAGCUGAAUAGAAAGUCUCAGGAUCUAAACCUUAACCUUCCUGGCCGAUGCUGAAAGGAGAGCUUGUUUAUGAAACAUGUUCUUGCAAAACUAUUUGGCGGAUUGUGACAAAGAUGAAUGACCAGAUACUAUAAUUUAAAUUUGAAAAUAAGGUAAAUGGAAGUCCUUGUUUGUGUGUGAAUGUAUAUGUGUUCUCUUUGACAAGGGUCAAUGCCUUAUUGAAGAGUAGGAAGGCCAAGUAAGUCAUUCCUCUCUCCCUGUCCCAUUUUUCUACCCCUGACUGGAAGGAAUGUGCAGUUUUUGAUA